UUGAUUUCAUGUUUCUGUUGUUGUUUUAAAUUUCAGAUACAGCAGCACUGAGUUUUCAUCAGUGAGCUGUUUAAUAGCUUCUGCUUCAUUCAUUUGGUCUGAUACUCCGCUGAUAGACAAAGCUGUGCCAAGCUGGUUUGUAAGAGCGGAACACAUGGUAGAGAAACUGCUGGAAUGUAAUGCCCAAUGCUACUGGUUUCACAAAUGCACUGGUUGGGCAACAGGACAGUUUCCCUCACAUAACAGAUACAACCUGCUUCAGUGCCUCUCAGCCUGCUGCUUGAACAGAUUUGUACACAAUUCCCUUCUUCGUGUCAAAGAAGGCGUUCCUUGCUGAUGUGAAAUCCUACUGAGAAAUAGGUUUUAGAGUAGUCUUUUCAUCUUCCCUGGACUAACUGAAAACACCUCUUUCAGUAUGUGACCUUGCCUGAGUUGCCUGCUGUUGUGGUCUUCAAAGAUGGAGCUUCCUUUGUUUCUGAUGAGUGUGAAGAUGGUGAUUUGUCAUCCUGGAUAAACAGAGCAAGAUUUCAAGGGUAUCUUCAUGUGGAUGGCUUUACACUUCAUGAACUUGGAGACAGAGGUGAAAACAAGAGAGGAGCAAGGCAGGAAGCACAAAAGCAAACCUAUCUCAUGAAGGAAACAGCACAACUGCAAGCACAGCUUUAAGCACAGCAUACCAAGGAGGAACAGAAAUCCCAAGCAGAGCAAAGGGGAGGAGUGGCUUAGAGAAAAGCAAAAGCACCCCACAAAGCACACAGCCAAAACACCACCCCACUAAGGACACAGCCAACCUACCCCCACAAAGGGGAUCAGCCCAAGGCUUCUGCCUCUCCUGGGGCAGCUUAAAAAGGGGAGGUCAAUUGAAGUCUCCUCCCACCCCAGCUGUGGCCACUUUGCCCUCCCUGCUCAGUGCCCUUUAUAAGCAGAGCAGGAGGAGCCCAGCCCCAAGCUGGGCCCAUUGCGGGCCAAGGGAUCCUCCGCCUGGCAUCCCAGAAAGCAGGAGUCAGCCACCUGCCACCCAUCCCCUCCUGACCCCAACCCCAGAAACCCAAAGCAGCACUUGGCACAGGAGGUCUCUCGUGUUGCAGUCUCAACUUCAAGCCCUGGAAUACUUUGCUUCAGCCAGCAGCAUGGGGUUGGAUACCAACAGCAGAGUCGACUUAACCUGUGACUAAGUGAACUUUAAGUUUUCUGACUCCACAGUAGAACUUGAUAAAGAAAGAUGUGAAGGGAAGCAGGCUCUGACUCCUCUGUGUAACUGAUGAGAAGCUUUCUGAAGGAGUUUUGGCUCGGGCUAGUGUGAAGUGUCUCUGGAACGAGGUCCUUGUGGUCCCUUCUGACCCUGACUGAUUCUGUGAUUCCAGCAAGCAGCUUUUGACUUAAAAACCCCUGAGGUCACUGCAGCACCUCUCUAUGGAAUAAAAGAAAGGGAUUUUGCUGCACUGCUGAGAACUGUUUCCAGCUCUGAGCCUUUGUUUUUGUGGUUGUUUUUGGUUCGUGUUUAUAAACAGCAGUAGCUAAGCAAUCCUCUCUGAGCUAUGGACCAGAAUCUGCUGCAUCCUGUGCAAGAAGCAGAUCCCAGUGUGAUCUGGUGCAGCUGUAGCACUUCCUAACUGCUAGGUUUAGGAGGAGGGCAUGUGUCUCAGUCGUUUCUGAGCUGUGAUAGCAAUCAGGUGUCUGCUUAAGUCUUGAACCUCUGCCACGUGCUGCCACGUUCACCAGAUCUUUCUCCCGGCUUCAGGGAGAGAAGGAGUGUCCAGCUCCCAGAGUGGGUGUCAGAAGCGAUGUGAAGUGAAAGGGGUUUGCUGAGGUCAUGUAGAAAGUUGUGUGAGGGAAUCUGGCAGUUUGGUUUUUGAUUUCUUCAGUCUCUAAAGUUUUUCUUGGAGCAGCUUCACUGCAAUCCUUUUAAAUGCACAGAAAAUCAGCACAGGCCCUUUUAGACAGUCCUCCAGCUUUGCUGUAGGUCCCUUUCAGAAUCUGCCGUGUUGCUGGAAGGUCUGCCUUCUCUUCUGCAGCCUCAACAGCCCCAGUUCUUUCGGUCCUGCUUCCCAGGAGAGGUGCUGCAGUCCUCUGCUCAUCUUUGUGGCCCUCAUCUGGCAGAAGAGCUGUGUUUUUCCUCUAGCUCCUGCAGAACGGCCUUAAUUCUGGUGUCAGCAGCUCCCCCUCUGUCUCCUCUGCUGUCUCUAAAUCCCUCCAGAGUAGAUCGAGGAAGUGCUGAGUAGCCCCAGCUGGAGUUGAGAGCUGUGCCUAUAAACUGAGUGUGUAGGAGUGGCAGAGCGUGGGCUGUGCCUUGCGUGCGGUGUGCUGUUGGCAAAGGCAAUAGGCAGAGCGGCGCUGGGCUGAAGGCGCUGCCCCCGGCCGGGCGCAGAGGCGCUCUCGGUUGUCUGUGCUGCCCCCCUGUGUUUGCUCGUGGGUACUGCAGUUGUGUAGCGGCUGCGGUGUGGCGCCGGUGCUCAGUGCUGCCACCGUGUGUUUGCUUGUCCACACUGCAGUUCCUCAGCCGCGGCGGUCCCCGUUUUCCUGCCUGGUCUCUAAAGGCCGUGCACGAUUGAAGUGGCUGAAAGCUGAGGGGAGGGGAGGAGAGGAGGGGAAGCUGCAGGGAUGGAUUUGCCUGCACUCAAGCUGCUGCUGCCAGAGCCCCUCCGUGUCAAUCUGUGCUGCCGUUGGGUUCUGCAGCUCUCUCCAGCAAGCAUGGCAUGAGCUGAAGGAGCAGCAGGAGCAGCAUGGCCGUUCCCCAGGCAGCAGGAGGGUUCAGCCCAGCACCAGCUCAUGCGGGAGGAGCAGAUGCUGAGGAACAUCCCCCACGAGACGCAGGUGGCCAAAGAGGCUGGGUCAGGAGAGUCCCAUUUCAUUCUUGAUGCUUUCUUUAAGAGAGGCAUACAACUGAGCUCCCUCAGAGAAGCAGCAUGAAGUGCAUGAAGGAUGCUGGCUGCACUCAGUACAGACAAGGCACAUUGGAUUGACUACUUCUUCUCUGGCCUUUGGAGUGAAGGAAGGGAAAAACCAGAGUUGAAGAUGUCAGCUCUGUAAGUUUUCUCUGGGUGAUCAAAGCAUGCACAACAUCCUGUGCUUGUGCUCUGGAAGAUUCUAGGAGCUUCACGGGGACUCAGGGAGCACAAGUUCUGGAUUUCUGUGGGCUGUCUCUAGAUGAACACCUGAGUGCAGUGAAUCUAAAAGCAGCUGUCUCUCAUUUGAAGUUAAAGUGAUGUGACUGAUCUGGUGCUUUAUAGGUGCCAAAAAGGAGACCUUCUUCACCUGCUUCUCCUGUGCAAGCUCUUCUGUCUGUCUGCUGAGAUGUUUCUGCCUGUUUCUCUGGCAGAGAAGUGUUUGCUUUUUGGGCUGGCGAGCUGACCAUCCGUACUACCGUCGCCUUGAAUGCCUCCAACCAGCAGUGUUUGCUGCCAGACAGACACCUGGAGAAGACAGAGGACAUGGUUAAGUUCAUGAAGGAUAUCUUGGAUGGUGCUGCUGAAGCACAGGCUGGUGAUGGACUUCUGCAACGAAGCAAGAGAGUCAUCUAUGAGGCCAAGGCUGCUGUAAUGGUAGAGUUCAUUGCUUAUUCAGUGAGGUGAUGCUCUUGUCAGUCAAGAAGGACUUAGUUGCAGAGGCUUUAGAAAUGCUUUGAUGUAAGCUUGUUGCCAUGCUGUGCCUAGUGUAUCUAUUGUCACUAUUUAGAACUAGGCUUAAACCAAAUGAACUUCUUGAAUAAAACAGCCAAUCAUGUCUGCCA